AUCCGUAUGCCGAAGGCCGAUCUGCCACCCGACCACCCACCGGACAUUGCUGCUGCCUCAACCUGCUACAAUUAUAAAGAAUCGAAUGGAAAAAAUAUAUUUCUGAGCAAUAUGAUCCGCGCACUUUCGCCGAAUAAUACUUAUUUUGUUACCCAUACCACACAGAAAUUCCUUCAAUUUACAAAUGUAUAUAUGUACGUAUAUACAUUUUUCUUGGUAUAAGGCGUGAAAGGAAACUGAAUGCUCUGAUGAUGAAUCAAUCCAGCUGCUUGAAAUGAUGACCCUUUCCAGCUAGAGCUACCGAAUAUGUUUCAGUUUCAGGAAAGAACUGAAACUAAAAAAUCUACUCAUGUGCAACAUUUGCUCAGCAUGCCCCUCCAUUUACUUCAUUCUAUAUAUUAGUAUAGACUCGAAAUAUUAUAUGUAAUUGUUAUUUUAAAUCAAAAGAAAAAUACAAAAUUCGUAGUAUUUAAAACUUCCUGUUAAUUAUCUCCUAAAAUGUGCCCGAUACGAUUUUCGUCUGUCCAUUUUUGCACAUUCUGCCUCCUGUUUUUGGUGAUCCAAAAGUAUACCGUUAGUAUCGUCAUCAAGGCUCCCACGAGUCGCUCAAGGAGCCCCCCAAGUUGAGUUUCAGGGGGCGAAAGAUAUCCCAGGAUACCAUGGACUGUGAACAGACAUGGAAAUUGGCAACCGUCUCCAGAUUGGGAGAAGCACUCGCUGCUGAGCUUGGCAUCAUCGGGAUAGUAGUUUACGAUUAGCGACGACGCCAAGUGGAGUCGGCUCAGGCCCUAGUGCGGGCCGCGUGUCCUGCCACACAUCGCCGUAGGUGAAUCUUUGCGGGAAACGCGAGAGCCGAAACCGUAUAUUAUUUUUACGAGUAUAAAUGUAAAUUUUUGACGCAAAAAAUAGAGCCACCACUGAUGAUAAAUCGCUGCCUGUUCUAGUACGGCAGUUACUAUACCCUAUGUUGUCUAAUUUCGCUAAUAAAAGGGUAAUUGAUUCUAUA
rnacentral:sRNA from 1 species